CUUCACUCCACGGCCAAGCACCAUACAAGUGUAGCUUUAUUCUAAUUCCCAUAUUCUCCAAUACAAAAAAUUGAAUCCCUAUCUCUCUCUUGCUUUCUCUCUCUCUCUUUCUAAAUCUACUGCAAAUAACAGACACAGGAAGAGAGUCUGGUAUCAAAUGGUGAGGAUAAUACCUAUGGCCUCCUCAGUUCGACCUUCUCUCUCUUCAUUCAUGCUCUGUAAUACCAGUUCUCGUUCAUCUCUUUCCGUCUUUCCCUUCACUGCUUCUCGCAGAUUCGCUUUUCUCGGCAGUGCUGUUCCACAAUCACAGUUCUUUGGCUUGAAAGCUUCUAAACCUUGGAGAGGAGAGAGUAGCAACCUUGGGGUUGCUGCAGCUGGAAACAUUGGACAAGCAAGCACAAUCGCCUCCCAAGAAAAUUCUCUAGAGUGGGUCAAAAACGAUAAGAGAAGAAUGCUACAUGUUGUUUAUCGUGUUGGGGAUUUGGACAGGACUAUCAAAUUCUACACAGAGUGUCUAGGAAUGAAGCUUCUGCGGAAACGUGACAUACCAGAGGAGAGAUAUACAAAUGCCUUUCUUGGAUAUGGACCAGAAGAUUCUCACUUUGUCAUAGAACUCACUUACAGUAAGUUAUAGUCUACCAGAGUACCGCUUAGGUUUGCUAACCUUUAUAAUUAUCUGAUCAAUUAGCUUCUACAGCACUGUUAUCAUUAACAAGUACAGCGUUUUUUUUUCUUUUUAAUUUCUUUUAUGAUUUCUGGAAUCACCAUCACUGAACAAUGUACUUUAUGUUGUAAAUAUUUAUGUUUAAUGCUGCCAGAUUAUGGAGUUGACAAAUAUGAUAUUGGAACUGCAUUUGGACAUUUUGGAAUAGCAGUUGAGGAUGUAAGUUCCUUUGGUUGAAGAUUCAUUUUUUGUUUUAGCUUUUUCAAUUUGAGGUACGUUUCAUUUGAUGAUCUAUUGUUACCUUGCUGUCCGUAAUUUCCUUAUCCUUGGUUACAUUUAUUAGACUGUCUGCUGGUGUGUUGGCCUAUAACAAACAUGAAUUGGGUUUCAUUAGUCUGAUUUUUUUUUAUUAGGUUGCAAAGACUGUGGAGCUCAUAAAGGCUAAGGGUGGCAAAGUAACUAGAGAACCUGGUCCUGUUAAAGGUGGCAGUACAGUUAUUGCAUUUAUUGAAGAUCCUGAUGGUUAUAAGUUUGAACUUUUGGAAAGGGGUCCUACACCUGAGCCCCUUUGUCAGGUCAUGCUUCGUGUUGGAGAUCUUGAUCGUUCUAUAAAUUUUUAUGAGAAGGCUUUUGGCAUGGAGCUUCUUCGCAAACGGGAUAAUCCAGAGUACAAGUAUACCAUAGCAAUGAUGGGUUAUGGUCCUGAAGACAAAAGUGCUGUGCUGGAGUUGACAUACAACUAUGGGGUCACUGAAUAUGACAAAGGAAAUGCAUAUGCUCAGAUUGCAAUAGGCACAGAUGAUGUCUAUAAAACUGCUGAAGCAAUCAAAUUGUUUGGUGGGAAGAUUACCCGGGAACCUGGACCAUUACCUGGCAUAAACACCAAGAUAACUGCAUGCUUGGAUCCUGAUGGUUGGAAGGCGGUAUGCUUUCAAGAUUUUAUCUUCAUUCUUGUUUCAAAUGCAAAUAGUUUACCCUUACAAAUUAAAUUACUCUUUAACACAAUGUUACUAAAUUGAAAAACUUGAUUGUUAUUUUUUGCCACAAAAUUUAUUGACGGCUACAUGAACUGUUGAGAGUAAACAAGUUCAAUCCGAAUAUUUAGUUGUAGGAUUAAAACUGCUGAUGUAUGUGAAUUUAGUGUGUGUGCGCGCACGCGCGUAUAGCAUCAAUUUCAAAUCUCCCUUUAUUUAAAAUUUUCGCCUAUAGGUAAGGAUGUGAAUUUGAUACAUUCAUUUUACUGCAUCUAUUGUGGGUACAUACUAUGGUUGUGUAAAUUCGUCAAAUGUGGAUCAAAUUCAUUAUUAUGGAUAAAAACUUGUUUUAGCAUGAACCAAAUGCAACCUUAUGUUGAUUAGUUUGAUCAUUCAUUUUGCUUCACAUGAACGAUGUGAGCUACUCCUAAUGCUUGUAUUGUUCCUUUAGCUUUGCUGUGUCUUUUCUCUACUAUGCAGGUUUUUGUAGACAAUGUUGAUUUUAUCAAGGAACUGGAGUGAGUUUUUAGAGGAGCAUCACUAUACCAAGCACCCAGCCCUAAAAUUAAAAUCUUGGGCCCAAAUGAUUGUGAAAAUUUGUUGCCUGUGAGAUAAUGAUCAAAAUCCCAUUUUGUAGAUAAAAUUAUAGUCUCUUUCACAAUUAACGCAGCAAUAAAAAUCUAGCCGGGAGCUUUGCAGCAGUGAAGGAAAUUAGAGAUACUAGUGUAUCUGUUCAAUUAUCUUUCCCCAUUUCUUUGAUGAAAAAAAGUAUUCUUGCUAAAAGCUCAUGCAUGAGCAGCUUGUUUGAAACAGCUUUGUGAGUAUGCAUAAUGAUUACCUAUAAAUUUGUGUUGUAACAAGUUCGUUCUGGUAAAGGAGUUAUUUUUCUCAAGCUCAUUUCACAAAGAAAUGCUCAGAUAGACGUGAUUGAUCUUUUUGCUCCUUCCACGGAGAUCUCAAUUGCAUCAAAUCAAGUUCUUCACUCUUCAGAGCAGUGUUAUGUAUUCGACAUUUUUUUUUUUUUUUUUUUUU
rnacentral:misc_RNA from 1 species